rnacentral:rRNA from 1 species
GAUGAACGCUGGCGGCGUGCUUAACACAUGCAAGUCGAACGAGAAGUGAAGACUGAAACCUUCUGCCCGAAUGCUGUAUUUCUAGGUGCCGACGGGGUAAUAACGCGUUGGUAACCGGCCACAUACAGGAGGAUAACAGUUGUAAACGACUGGUACUACCGCAUAAUACCACAGCACCGCAAGUUUCGGGGGUAAAAAGUGCGGUGGUAUGAUAUCGACCCGCUUUCGAUUAGCCGGUUGGCGGGGUAACUGACCAGCAAAGCGACGAUCGAGAGCCGAUGUGAGAGGCUGACCGGCCAGAGCGGGACUGAGACCCGGCCCAAACUCGUACGGGAGGGUGCAGUGGGGAAUAUUGCAGACUGGGGCAAGAUGUGAUGCAGCGGCGCCGGGUAAGUGAAGAAGUAUUUCGGUAUGUAAAGCUCUAUCAGAAGGGAAGAAAAUGACGGUAACGGAGUAAGAAGCACCGGCUAACUACGUG